CACGCCCUAAACGAUGUCAAUUAGCUGUUGGGGUACAUGAUGCCUUAGUAGCGUAGCUAACGCGUGAAAUUGACCGCCUGGGGAGUACGGUCGCAAGAUUAAAACUCAAAGGAAUUGACGGGGACCCGCACAAGCGGUGGAUGAUGUGGAUUAAUUCGAUGCAACGCGAAGAACCUUACCUGGUCUUGACAUGUACGGAAUCUCUUAGAGAUAGGAGAGUGCCUUCGGGAGCCGUAACACAGGUGC
rnacentral:rRNA from 2 species